UUCUCAACCCUGGCUAACCACUAAAAAUUUACUCAAGGAGCUUUUAAAAAGUAUCAGUGCCUAGGACACAACACAGGUUAAUUGAAUAAGAACUUCGGGAGGAGACUCUAGCACCAACCAGAGAAAGCUGAAUACACUCCCUGGCCAGUUCCAUAGGAUGUUCCGAUUCCAGCUACUCGCCUCCAGUGUCCCCAGACAGCAGCCUCCGGCAGGGCUCACCUGGGACCUUCCGUUUUCUCAUCAUAAAUCCCCAGACCCCUGCCUUUGAGUCUCUGCUGGACACACACCCUGGAGCCCUGCCUUUGAGCCUCUGCUGGACACACACCCCGGACCCCUGCCGUUGAGCCUGUGCUGAACACUCGCAGUGGUGACCGACGCCCCCACCACAGCAAGCCCCGAAUACACAGCCUCUGUGUGUU
rnacentral:lncRNA from 1 species